rnacentral:rRNA from 1 species
UACGGAGGGUGCAAGCGUUAUCCGGAUUUACUGGGUUUAAAGGGUGCGUAGGUGGGUUGGUAAGUCAGUGGUGAAAUACUUUCGCUUAACGAAGGAACUGCCAUUGAUACUACCGGUCUUGAAUACAGUGGAGGUAAGCGGAAUGCGUCAUGUAGCGGUGAAAUGCUUAGAUAUGACGCAGAACACCAAUUGCGAAGGCAGCUUGCUACAGGAAUAUUGACACUGAGGCUCGAAAGCGUGGGGAGUCAAAC